CCAGCUCGUUGACUCUCCUGGUGAGGGAGUUUGUGUGUAGAAGGUCCUUACCAGCCCCAGUGCUGCCCAGAUCCCCACAUAGAAUAAGGACUUAAUUUUGAAGCUCAGGAUUUUAGGAUUAGCCUAAACACCUCUGGGAAUUUCUUCCCUGAACAGGCACCAUGCAUUAAUUCAACAAAUCUUUAUUAGGCAUCCACUAUGUGAUAAGCACUGUGCUAGGUUCUGGGAAUACCCAGGUAUGGUCCCUGGCAAGUUCACAGUCGGAUGGAGUCAGUUGUUAACCAAAUAAUCCACAAAACUGCAACUAGAAUAAUCAGUGUGGAGAGGCAUGAGGGACCAUGAGAAUGGAGCAGAGGAGUAUUCUCCGCCAAGGAGAUCAGGAAAGUCUUCGGAGAAAAAAUGAGGGAGAUUAGAGAGAAGGAAGGGCAGUGAAAUAUAUGUGCUGCUCAAGAGUAUGUGCAAAGGCCCUGGAAUUGAUGUCCUGGCCCUCAGCCAGUCUGCUCCCCCUGCCCCCAAAAAAGAGGGGCCUUCCAUUCCUGUGACGUGCUUGGAUUUCAAUAUGCCAAAAGGGAGGGAUGCUGCCCACCUCUCUAUGGGAUGAGAGACUUGAGAAAUUCAAUUUAAUCCAAUUCAGCAAACACUGAGUAUCUGCUAUGUGCCAGGUACUGACAGGUACCAGAAAUAAAGAGAUCACUGUCCUCGAGGUCUGGUGAGAAAGACGAGCAUUUGGAAGUGCUCUAACAUCAGCAUAAUGACCUGAACAAGGUGGCACGGAGCUGAGAAAGAAGCGAGCCCUCCUGUGGCCACUGCUAUUGCCUGCUGCUGCUUCCCUGAGUCCCCUGUGGGAGCUGUUUGGG
rnacentral:lncRNA from 1 species